AGCGAACGCUGGCGGCAGGCUUAACACAUGCAAGUCGAGCGGGCACUUUCGGGUGUCAGCGGCGGACGGGUGAGUAACGCGUGGUAACGUGCCCUCUGGUUCGGAAUAACUCAGGGAAACUUGAGCUAAUACCGGAUACGCCCUUUUGGGGAAAGGCUUGCUGCCGGAGGAUCGGCCCGCGUCUGAUUAGCUAGUUGGUGAGGUAACGGCUCACCAAGGCGACGAUCAGUAGCUGGUCUGAGAGGAUGAUCAGCCACACUGGGACUGAGACACGGCCCAGACUCCUACGGGAGGCAGCAGUGGGGAAUAUUGGACAAUGGGCGCAAGCCUGAUCCAGCCAUGCCGCGUGAGUGAUGAAGGCCUUAGGGUUGUAAAGCUCUUUUAUCCGGGACGAUAAUGACGGUACCGGAGGAAUAAGCCCCGGCUAACUUCGUG
rnacentral:rRNA from 1 species